GGUGAACGCUGGCGGCGUGCUUAAGACAUGCAAGUCGAACGCAGUCUUCGGACUGAGUGGCGCACGGGUGAGUAACACGUAACUGACCUACCCCCAAGUCGCGAAUAACCAGCCGAAAGGAUGGCUAAUACGUGAUGUGAUGAUACGCUGUGGCGGAUCAGUAAAGACUUGAUCGCUUGGGGAAGGGGUUGCGGUCCAUCAGCUAGUUGGUAAGGUAAAGGCUUACCAAGGCAACGACGGAUAGCCGGCCUGAGAGGGUGGCCGGCCACAGGGGCACUGAGACACGGGUCCCACUCCUACGGGAGGCAGCAGUUAGGAAUCUUCCACAAUGGGCGCAAGCCUGAUGGAGCGACGCCGCGUGAGGGAUGAAGGUUCUCGGAUCGUAAACCUCUGAACCAACGACGAAAGACCCGACAAGGGAGAUGACGGUAGUUGGGUAAUAGCACCGGCUAACUCCGUGCCAGCAGCCGCAGUAACAC
rnacentral:rRNA from 1 species